rnacentral:rRNA from 1 species
AGCGAACGCUGGCGGCAGGCCUAACACAUGCAAGUCGAACGAAGCCUUCGGGCUUAGUGGCGGUCGGGUGCGUAACACGUGGGAACGUACCUUUUGGUUCGGAACAACUCAGGGAAACUUGAGCUAAUACCGGAUGAGCCCUUCGGGGGAAAGAUUUAUCGCCAUUAGAGCGGCCCGCGUUAGAUUAGCUAGUUGGUGAGGUAAAGGCUCACCAAGGCUACGAUCUAUAGCUGGUCUGAGAGGAUGAUCAGCCACACUGGGACUGAGACACGGCCCAGACUCCUACGGGAGGCAGCAGUGGGGAAUCUUGCGCAAUGGGCGAAAGCCUGACGCAGCCAUGCCGCGUGAAUGAUGAAGGUCUUAGGAUUGUAAAAUUCUUUUACCAGGGACGAUAAUGACGGUACCUGGAGAAAAAGCCCCGGCUAACUUCGUGCCAGCAGCCGCAGUAAGAC